rfam:Ovis aries breed Texel chromosome 13, whole genome shotgun sequence.
UCCCUGGUGGUCCAGUGGUUAAGACUUGGCACUUUCACUGCCGUGGCCCCAGGUUCAAGCCCUGGUUGGGAAA